rnacentral:rRNA from 1 species
AGUGAACGCUGGCGGUAGGCCUAACACAUGCAAGUCGAACGGCAGCACAGUAAGAGCUUGCUCUUACGGGUGGCGAGUGGCGGACGGGCGAGGAAUACAUCGGAAUCUACUUUUUCGUGGGGGAUAACGUAGGGAAACUUACGCUAAUACCGCAUACGACCUACGGGUGAAAGCAGGGGAUCUUCGGACCUUGCGCGAUUGAAUGAGCCGAUGUCGGAUUAGCUAGUUGGCGGGGUAAAGGCCCGCCAAGGCGACGAUCCGUAGCUGGCCUGAGAGGAUGAUCAGCCACACUGGAACUGAGACACGGGCCAGACUCCUACGGGAGGCAGCAGUGGGGAAUAUUGGACAAUGGGCGCAAGCCUGAUCCAGCCAUACCGCGUGGGUGAAGAAGGCCUUCGGGUUGUAAAGCCCUUUUGUUGGGAAAGAAAAGCAGCAGGUUAAUACCCCGCUGUUCUGACGGUACCCAAAGAAUAAGCACCGGCUAACUUCGU